rnacentral:lncRNA from 1 species
GCGCUGUGCGAGGCCCAGACUGAGGGCGAAACAGCAGGCAGGACUGGGUGGAGACGUUCGGGGACGUGGCAACUGGAGUUUCUUCUCCGUAUAUUUCGGCAUUCAGUUCCUUUUUUUUUUUGUUUUAACUCAGGAAAAAAUCUCAAUUGCGUUUAGUAUUUUGAAAGCCACUUUAUUGCUUCCCGAGCCUCAGUCAUGUGUGGUGGGAGGCUGCUGUGGGUGGCACCUGGGGCGUCCACGGCCGCCAAGGCGGGAGGACGUCAGGCCCUGCUUGCUCCCACCCCUUCCAGGUGAGAGCUCCCGGGCACGCCCGUCGUUGGCUCUUCGUCCUCUUGGUGUUCUUCCCUGUUGCUUCAAAUCAGGUUCCUGUCUCAAAAAUCCGAAAAAGAAAUCCUCCCAAAUGACUCUGUGCCCGACGCUCCGUUAAGGCAUCGUGCUAGGCGUUCUCAAACUCGUGAAAUGACUACACUGCACAGGUUAACCUCAUUGCUACUCUUCCCCUUGCCUCCUAAUUCUCUGGUUAAACUUCCGCCCCCGAGGUUUCUAGAAAUCCCUGAGCUGGAAUGCGCUGCCUUCAUUAAGAGGGUGUUCUGCUUCCGUCUGCUCACAUUCAUCUAGUAAGCCCUCUCGUUAAAGAGGAGGCAGCACACCGAGGCCUGUCUAGAACUUCUUUCAUUUAACCAACAGUGAAUAUCUAAUCUACAAGAAACUGGAGCCGUGGCAGUUUAGGAGCCUGCCAAGGUUGCAUCCCUGGGAGCUUAUUUUCUAUUGUGGGAGACAGGAAAAGAACAAGUGAAUCAACUGUGAAAUUAAAUAAUUCAAACUUAAAGCUGUUGGAACUUUAAAUUAUUCUGAGCCUUGCGAAGAAUGUGGCGAUGGGGCCUGAGUCCCAUGGCAUACAGCUGCAAUGUCUGCCUUGUUUUUUCCUAUAAUCAGGAAGACCAAACAGAGACAGAGGCGCACACACCAAGAAAGGCCAUGUGGGCACACAGCAAGAUGGUGCCUGUCUGCAAACUAGGAAAAGAGCCCUCACCAGGAACUGAAACAGCUGGCACCUUGAUGUUGGACUUUCCAGCCUCCACAACUGUGAGAGUUUUGGAGGCUGGUAAGUCCAAGAUCAAGGUGCCAACAAGUUUGCUUGUCUAACAAGGGCUGCAUCUUCCUGAGGGGAGGAACGCUAUGUCUUCACAUGGUGGAUGGCAUAAAGGCAAGAGAGUCGAAUGCUGCGUGAAACCUCUUUUACAAAGACCUCAAUCCCAUUCACAAGGGAGGAGCCCUCAUUGCCUAAUCAUCACCUGUUAAGGGUCUUGUCUCUUAAUUCUGUUACACUGGCCAUUAAGUUUCAACACCUGAAAUUUGGAGGAGACACAUUCAAAUCAUAGCAGCAGGUCACUGAUUGUUAUCUUUAUUUUACAUAUAAGGAAACUGAGGCUCAGCGAAGUCAUGUAAUUAUUCCCCAGGUUAUGCAGGCAGCAAAUGGCAGAGGCAGCUCAUUGUUUGGUCUUUCCAUACCAUGCUGUACUGUAGAAUUUGGAAAGGUUUAUUGCAUCACCAGUUAGUAAGUCAGGAACUAUAGCUCCCUUGGAAUUGCUACAUAUGAUGAUGUAUUGAUUCUGAUAGACACAAAAUAAACUGACAUAUUUAUAGUGUGACUUUUCUGAGCUUCUCUUUUUAUUUAAUGGAUCCAUAUUGACUGACCAGCUAAUGUAGCUAUCUGUAAAACAGCUUUGUAGGCCUCUCCCCUUUAUUUUUCCUCCCUGUAUAUGUUGUUUCAAGUAUAGAUGACAGGCUUUAAGAAUGGGAAGUGAAAAGGCAGAAUUCAAUCUACAAAUACAGGUAUAUCUUCAGAAAGUCCCAGAGUGCACCGCAUUCAUUCAAAAAGAAUCUUGUUACCACCAAUACCAAACAAAUACCCUGUGGUCAUCAAGGAGAAAAAUACUGUGCUCCUAGCCAAGUCUUUGAGUUUAUUACUUUACUAAUGUAUAGCAAAGAAAGUUCAGCCAUUUUGGUAUCCCAGUAUUACUUUUUAUUGCCUUAUAUAUGAAAAGGAGACACAGAAAAGGUUGUUAGGACUAAAUGCAAU